rnacentral:rRNA from 1 species
AACCUUUACAAUGCACGAAAGUGUGAUAAGGGAAUCCUGAGUGCUUUACUUUUAGUAAGGCUUUUGCCAACUGUAAAUAGGUUGGCGAAUAAGUGGUGGGAAAGACUUGUGCCAGCCGCCGCGGUAACACCAGCGCCACAAGUGGCAACCGAUUUUAUUGGGCCUAAAGCGUCCGUAGCCGGUUCAGCAAAUUUCUUGUGAAAUCGUUAGGCUUAACCUAACGGCAUGCAGGAAAGACUACUGGACUUGGGACCGGGAGGCGUCAGAGGUAUUCCUGAGGGAGCGGUAAAAUGCUAUAAUCUCAGGAGGACCACCUGUGGCGAAGGCGUCUGACGAGAACGGAUCCGACGGUGAGGGACGAAAGCCAGGGGAGCAAACCGG